UAUUGAAACGCCAGUUCUUGUACAAUCAGCAAAGUUAAGCAACAUUGAACCUAGAUAGUACCUAGAUGGGUGACCAUUUGGGAAUAUUUGGUGCUGUAAG